rnacentral:lncRNA from 1 species
AUGUCUCCACAUUAUUCAGAGGAUUUAAUAAAGAGAGAACAACAUUUCUUUUACCCAAGUUUUGCCUCAUGUGACUUCUCAACAGUGGAAUUUUUUAAAAAGAAAGGGAAGUCAAGAAAAGUUCUGUCUUCUGUUACUGGCACAAAUCUGGGCUUAGUAGAGCCAUCCCAGUUUCUAAACCCUACCAGUGUAAUAUGCAAAUAUCAAUGGCUUGAGUAG